rnacentral:rRNA from 1 species
GACGAACGCUGGCGGCGUGCCUAAUACAUGCAAGUAGAACGCUGAAGGAGGAGCUUGCUCUUCUGGAUGAGUUGCGAACGGGUGAGUAACGCGUAGGUAACCUGCCUGGUAGCGGGGGAUAACUAUUGGAAACGAUAGCUAAUACCGCAUAACAGUAGAUGUUGCAUGACAUUUGCUUAAAAGGUGCAAUUGCACCACUACCAGAUGGACCUGCGUUGUAUUAGCUAGUUGGUGGGGUAACGGCUCACCAAGGCGACGAUACAUAGCCGACCUGAGAGGGUGAUCGGCCACACUGGGACUGAGACACGGCCCAGACUCCUACGGGAGGCAGCAGUAGGGAAUCUUCGGCAAUGGACGGAAGUCUGACCGAGCAACGCCGCGUGAGUGAAGAAGGUUGUCGGAUCGUAAAGCUCUGUUGUAAGGGAAGAACGAGUGUGAGAGUGGAAAGUUCACACUGUGACGGUAUCUUACCAGAAAGGGACGGCUAACUACGUG